GCUAUGUACGGACGGGAUAACCGCUGAAGGCAUCUAAGCGGGAAACCCACCUCAAAACGAGGUCUCCCUUGAGGGCCGUGGAAGACGACCACGUCGAUAGGCCGGGAGUGCAAGCGCGGUAACGCGUUGAGCUGACCGGUACUAAUCGCCCGAUUGGCUUGAUCGCUCUCAUGAU
rnacentral:rRNA from 1 species